UGGACAUUUAAUUUUUUAUUGUUUCUUCUCAAGGUGAAGAUAACACUUAUGAAUGUCCUAGCUAAAUAUAGUAGCUCCUUCUAUUCAUUCUUUGAAGUAAAAAGGGUGGAUCAUUACGCUACUGACAUUA
ensembl:snoRNA